UUUGGAAUCUCAGCUCGAUUCUCAUAGGGAGAUGAAUGAAAUUAACGAGAAGAAUGAAUGAUGAACGAUGAGACAAGGACGAAGUAAUAUGUAGAAACGACAACAACAAGGUAAUAAAGAUGCAAAGGAGCGCGCUACCACGCGAAACAAGCCAUUAGGCAGUUCUCCUAUCCCCUCCGAACGAAUACCUUUUAGUAAGAGGGUGAAACAGUGACACAAAGCCGGUGAGGCCGUCACGCGUACUUCAUACCACAUGAGUGAUGAGUACUGUUAAACAUACCCAGGCGUGAGCCAACAAUGCAAAGAACCCUGAGAAGGGAGUGAAAUAGAACUUGCAACAAUUCUGCUUAAUCUAACGAGCACUGCUUGUGGAAGAAAGCGAGAACAAAUCAGAAGAUAGACUAGUGGUCUGUCCUGAGUCCGAAUGCCUAUGAUCUAACCCUGGAAAGGCUGCACUCUUUAUGAGUUUCAAGGCCGAUGUGAGGAGUUAUUCGAAACUGUCACUGGAUCUGGGGUUGGGGCUAAAUGUCAAUCGUAUAGCUUAAUAUCUGGUUGCGUUCGAAAGAUCUAUAGCAAUAGACAAGAAGUAGACCCGCUUCCUCCUUUAGAAGGUGCGUAGAUCGCUGUGGGCAACAUAAUGUAUUAACGGUCAAAUUGUAGGAACCUGUAAGUGCAUUCCACAGUGAGAAGGUCGGUGUGGUCCCUUAGGGGAUACCCUGAUCAGUAAAUCCCAUUCAAGAUUAAGUUCGUUGCUAAUGGUUAAGUAGGACCGAAUAGGUCCGAAGGUAAAACUUGUCACUGCGCUGCACUGAAAGAAGGUUCACCGUUAAGUCUUCGGUGGCCAUCGAAACCUCUCGAGGAUAUCUUUGGCUUCGUAAAAACAAGCAAACGUUAGUCGGAGUUCCAUCUCUGCCCCCUUUGAUUAGGGCCCCUUCUGGGGAACGAGUCGCCCACAUAACAACUGGUAUCGACAAUGUUCAUUCAAUGGCUGCGUCAUGAAGGUUCCAGGUAGUGUCUCUAUUCGGUUAGGAUGGGUAUAAACUUUAUCUAACAAGAGGGCAACAACCCCUAGGCUGUACUAAGGCGUUCCAUACGCAUUGAGUGCUUAGCUGCCGUCGGUGCUUUAAUCACACCUUACAAGUCGCAUUAGCAGUAUGCAUCUUCUUACGAGUGUCCACCAACUUAUAAGGUUUACACCGCGGUAGUCUACAUUCUCAGUGAAUGCGUAGCCGACGUACGCCACCUUGGUAGAACGCCGUACCCUUCCUGUGCCUUUGGCAGGGAUAAAAGGGUAGUGAUACUGUUCUCUUGAGUAGCUCAGGGUCACCAGAAAGACCCGCGUUAAUCCACCUUGGUUAUUCCGCUGUCCGACAUGAAUAGGGGAUGCAACGCCUAACUUCCUUGUAAUACAUGGUAACGAAGGGCCCUCACGUAUGAUUCCUGACUCCAUACACUUUCUACCUUCGGGUAAUUGGUCCAAGUACUGCCUUUGCCUUCUGGCACGUAGGCAUGUUGUCUUCUAACACAGGCUGGGCUCAAUAAUGAAACGUACAUGGCUAACUGGCGUAAUGAAUUUGACAACCGAGUUAUGAAACCUAGGGAUAAUAAUCGUGUUCAUCAAGCGACUGUUUAACAAAAACACAGGUGUAGGUUACGACGAUCUUUGGCUCUGCGCCGACAUGUGAUCAGUGCUUCAAUAGAGUAAACAUCGGCGGUAACUGUAACCGUCCAAAGGUAGCGAAAUUCCUUGUCAGCUAAAUACUGACCUGCAUGAAACAUAGAACGACUAGAUGGGUGUCUUACGCAAGUUUAAUGGUGAAAUGACACUGGACGUGAAGAUGCGUUCGUUGGGAACAUGACAAGAAGACCCUCAGGAGCUUUAUACGCAAACUAGCGGUACUGUGAUCUGUUUCGGCUACGGUGGUAUACCUCUGUUGCCAUGCAGCAUCACUUUACCAUUCAAUCAGGUGAGGUUCCGUUAGACGGUUUGAUUGGGGCGAUCACCUUCUUUACUCAACGAGAGGUUAACAAAGGAUGGCAAACCCGUCAUGAAAGCGGUACUACACGUAGAAAGGUAGAACCAAUCCUGAGAGCUAGAAGUUAUUCAAUCUAGGCACAAUAGCUGUCUUACUGAUCUUGAAAGCAACUUAAAGGAUAAAAGUUACCCAAGGGAUAACAGGCUUAAUGGGAACAAGAGUUCUUAUCGACUUCCCGUCUUGGCACCUCGAUGUCGGCUUACCUUUUCCAUGAGAGGCACAAGGCUCAAGGGUGGAGGUGCUCACUCCAUUCUAAGGUACACGAGCUGGGUUCAGAACGAUGUAAAUCAGUUUGGUCUAUAUCUAUUCCCUGCCAUUUAUUGGCAUAUACAGCUGGGGUCACGGUAUCUAGUACGCAAGGACCGAUACAUAGCUAGCUCCCCAAUAACGCCUAGUUACACGGUUAUCACUGUUCGAAGAUAAGUGAAAGUAAGGCUCUCGGCUGCAUACCCGACUGGGUGGCUGGUCAUAGGAACGAUUAGUUAGUUAAAUGGUGUUCAAUCUAAGGUAAUAAUAUUAAUAAGAACGGUAAACAAAGGUUAUCAAAACGUACGAAGGAUAACGAAGGGUAUGGAUCUCUCCUUCAAUAACCUAGGACAAAUGUUGUCAAUGUUGUCUGCAACAGAUCUAAUGGUCUUUUUAAACAUUCUGGUCAAACUAGUCAAUUUGGGUGCGAG
rnacentral:rRNA from 1 species